rnacentral:rRNA from 1 species
UACAGAGGUCCCAAGCGUUGUUCGGAUUCACUGGGCGUAAAGGGUGCGUAGGUGGCUUGGUAAGUUCGAUGUGAAAUCUCCGGGCUUAACCCGGAAAUGGCAUUGAAUACUAUUGAGCUGGAGGUUUGGAGGGGGGACUGGAAUUCAUGGUGUAGCAGUGAAAUGCGUAGAGAUCAUGAGGAAGACCAGUGGCGAAGGCGGGUCUCUGGACAGUUCCUGACACUGAGACACGAAGGCCAGGGGAGCAAACGGG